rnacentral:rRNA from 1 species
GACGAACGCUGGCGGCGUGCUUAACACAUGCAAGUCGAGCGGCGCGGCGAACGGGUGAGUAACGCGAGAGUAACUGCCCCCCUCUCUGGGAUAACAGUUGGAAACGGCUGCUAAUACCGGAUAGAGGGGGAUGACGCGCGUCCUAUCAGCUUGUUGGUGGGGUAGUGGCCUACCAAGGCGACGACGGGUCGCCGGACUGGGAGGGCGACCGGCCACAGUGGGCAGAGGUACGGGCCAAACUCCUACGGGGGGCAGCAGUGGGAAAUAUUGCGCAAUGGGGGAAACCAGGAAGCAGCAACGCCGCGUGCGGAAUGACGGCCUUCGGGUUGGAAACCGCUUUCAGCCAUGACGCGGUAGUGGCAGAAGAAGCACCGGCUAACUACGUGCCAGCAGCCGCGGUAAUAC